GGUCACUUCCAGGCCUGGCCAUAAAAUGCUCCAUGUGAUCUUCCACCUUCUGCAAAUGACUUUGAAGGUCUCUGAGUUGGUUAAGCCUCACAUUGGCAGGAGCCUGGAUCUCUAACUUCACUGCCUGAAGGAGAUUUGCCCAAAUGGGAACAUCCAAAUUAGACCUUGUGUGAAUGGGAGCAAACUGUGAUUCCAUUAAGCCACUGAAAUUUGAAAGUGUUACAGUAGUUAGCCUCGUCUGAUGAAAACAGAGAAGGAGAAAGUUCUGCGCCUGGAAAGUGGCUGCCUCUCACCCAUGGCAUGGCUGGGCCUCGGCUGCCUCUGGCUGGAGCGACUGCUUUACAGUGGACAUCCCCAGUGGUUCUUCAUAGAAGUGAAUUAUCCUUGAUCAAUAUUUAAGGAUAUGGAAUUGGAUGGUAGAAAUUGAAGAUUUCUGUAAGAGUUUUGGAGGCUGGAAAGUCCAAGAUCAAGGUGCCGGCAGGUUUGUCUGAUGAGGGCUGCCCUCUGCUCCCAAGAUGGUACCUUGAUGCUGCAACUUCCAGAGGGGAGGAAGAAUGUGUCCUCACAUGGCAGGAGCCAGAAGGAUAAGCAAGCUGUGCAAAGCCUUUUUUAUAAGGGCCUUAAUCCUGUUCAAGGGGGAGGAGCACUUAUGAUCUAAUCGCCUCCUCAAGGUCCCACCUCUUAAUGCCUCACACUGGCCAUUACAUUUCAACACCUGAAUUUUGGAGGGGACAUAUUCAAACCAUAGCACAUUCCUCCUUAUCAUAGUCAUCAGGGCUAUCUAUCCAUAAAUGGCUUGAUAGAAUUUCACAUUGUACAUGUUAAGUCUUCUGGAACUGAUUUAAACUAAUUCAAACUUUAUGGAGCUCUUGCUAUGUUGAAAACUCCCUGCUAGGUACUGGAAGGCAGAAAAAGAUUGACAGGAUGAGAUGUCUGCUCUCCAGGCACUCACAAUGCCUCAUUGAGAAGGCAAGCAUAAAUAUGGUAGACACAACGCAGACAAUAAGUGGUAUAUUAGAAGCAGAGUCCCUCCCUCAUAGAUUCAAAUACAUUUUUAAAUUAAGUUUUUCAUAUAUGUUUUCCUAAAGGCAGAGGAUAUUUUUGAAGGUCUUAGAAUUACAUUUUUUACAAUCAUACUCUUUGAGGAUAAUAUAAAUAAUUUCUUACAAUAAUCUUACCCUUUUUUGUCAUCAAUAUAUUUUUUUUUAAAGACUGCUUCAUAAAGCAGUUUCAGGUUCACAGCAAAAUUGAAAGGAAGGCUUAGAGACUGCCCAUGUAUCCCUAAACCCCACACAGGCAUAGCUUCCCCCACGGAGAAUUUCAUACUUGUUACAAUUGAUGAAUUUACAGUGACCCAUUAUAAUCACCCCCAGUCCCAGUGUUCUUUUCAAAUCGAAGAAUCCUGUCCCUCAUUACUUUUUAUACCUUCUUAGAGAUUAAAUUGUGAAUAAGGCAGGGAUUUAUCAGAUGUUCUUUUGGUAGAUGAAUGUGAUCAUUUAGUCCAUUUCUGGACAGGUUAAUGACCCCAAUCCCCAUGAUAUCUUGCUUAGUGUCUGGUUAAAAAUCUGGUUUAUGGUCACCAAAGCAUCCCUUUGCAAGAAAAGUUGCUGAUACAUAGAUCCCCCUGUGCAAACUGCUUUUUGUUGAGCUCCCAGUAAAAUUCACUCUGUUUUUUGACGGUGGUUGUGCUACAUUCCAAGUUCAAUGAACUAUGGCAAGCCCAGGCAUGUUUAUUUAAAUGGAUUUCCUUGAAAUGUAACACUAGCUUUCUAACACCUGUUUGUAUUUCCAUACAUUCAACAGAAAGAAAGUGCUAUUCUCAUACUGAACAUGUAGAAUAAUACCCCAAUUUUUCUACUUCUGAUUGAGGUAGGAGAGACAAGUUGUCUGUAUGGUUUUUGUCAUGUUGACAAAAAAGAGUCAAACUCUUUAAAAUAUUUGAAGAGAGUCAUUCUGAGCCAAAUAUGAAUGACCAUGGCCCAUGACACAGCCCUCAGGAGGUCCUGAGAACAUGUGCCCAAGAUGGUCAGGGUGCAGCUUAGUUUUAUAUAUUUUAGGAAGGCAUGAGACAUCAAUCAAAUACAUUUAAGAAAUACAUUGGUUUGGUUUAGAAAGGUGGCACAACUCAAAGUGGGGACUUCCAGGCUAUAGGUAAAUUUAAACAUUUUCUGGUUGACAAUUGGUUGAGGUUGUCUGAAGACCUGGGAUCGAUAGAAAGGAAUGUUCAGGUUAAAUAUAAAGAAUUGCAGAGACCAAGUUUUAUUGUGCAGAGGAAGCUCUUAGGUAGCCGACUUUAGAGAGAGCAGGCUGUAAAUUGUUUUUUAUCAGACUUAAAAUGGUGCCUGACUCUUAGUUGAUGAUCUCCUGGAUCUGGCAAGUAAGGUAGGAAAACAAAGGGGGAAGGGGAUUUUUUAUAGAAUGUGGACUUUUCCACACAAGAGAAUUUGCAGGGCAAUUUUAAGAUAUGGCAUGAAAAUAUAUUUUAAGGUUACAUAUUUUUUUUUCCUUAUCUCAUAAUGUUAUGCCAGAGUCAGAUUGAAAAGUAAGUCACAAUAAACAGGGUCAAAUAAAACCCCUCUGAUGAAAAUUUGUGGUUUAUAGGGCAUGACUCCCUAGAACACUUAGGUAGAAAUUUGCGCAAGAAAAAAAAAAUCAGGACUUAGGACUCAUUCAUUUAUUCAGUUAAUCUUUCAUUCAUUCAUCAUGUUUUGGGCACCUGCUCAGUACCAGACUCUGUAGGUGGUCACUGGUUAUACAAAGAUGACUAGUCAUGCAGUAGGGGGCGAAAGUACAUGUUAGUGAAAGGCUUUCUUUCAAAACUACCAGCCAUCACGUGAAUUGCAGGAUUCCAGCUAUUAUUUUUCCAAGUAACUUACUUUGUGCUGAACAUUUAUAGAGAAUUCAUUGUAUUCUAAUCAUUAGAGUGUGGACUCUGUAGUCACACAAUCUAUAUUCAAAUCAGAUUUUUAAUGGUGUUACCUAGAUAAAGUGUCUAUAAAAUGGGGACAAUAACAAUUACACCUACCUCAAAGGAUUUUUUGAGAAAACCAAUACCUAGCAUAUGGCAAGCAUCUAAGAAACUUGAACUUUUAUGUUUUUCUUGCAGAACUAACAUACCAUUUGUGUGUAUUUGACAUAUCCAGGUGUGUGUUGCACUUUUGUGUAGGGACAUGUUUUGUGUAUUCCUUGAAGACGGUCAUGAGGCAGUUAAUCCACCUUCUUUGCCAUCCAGCAUCUCAUUUCAAGUGUCUCUAGACGGAUUCUAGGAAGAAACCUUGAAUUGGAGCUACCCAGGAUAGUUCCAAGAAGUUCUAGAAGGGCUACCAAGGCAACUAGAUCUGAAUCACAGGACAUGAGGCGUUAGCAUUCAAAAUAUCCUGUGAAAUCCUCUAACAUAAAACUGUCCCUUUUCAGAUGGCAAAAUGUAACUGGAGAGGUGGUCUCACAGAUAAUGAGUGAUAGAGUGAAGACUUUUAGUUCUUUCCACAAACUGGAGAUUCAGAGUUACAUAAUGGUGUGCUAGAAGGGUGGAACUAGAGGAAAGAAAUAUAAGCUGAUUUCCGUCCCUUUGUGUUGCUCCACUUGGCUCAUCCCUUUCUACUCUCUACUAUUCCUUCAUCGGGGGCUCAUGUAAGCCUCUUAGGACCCCAUCUGUUUUCACAUUUUGGUUUAGGUCAGUGUGAAGUCGUCCAGAUGCUGUGACUCCUGGUUUACCUUUCUGUGUAGACUAAAUUUAUGCUGUCCAAAUCAGCUAUUGAAAUUGAAAUUAAUUAAAAUUAAAUACAUUUUAAAAUUCACUUCCUUGGUCAUAUCAAUCACAUUUGAAGUGCUCAGUAUCUACAUGUAGUUAGUGACUAAUGGCUACAAUAUUGAAUAGAGCAGAUAUACAACAUUUUCAUCCUCACAGGAUGUUCUGUUGGACAGUGUAAGAAUGACAAAUGAUUAAUUUAUGGACCAUUUUACAGUUGUAUAUGUAAAUCUCAUUUAGUUCCCUUUAAAAUGUAUUUUUUUUUUUUUUUUUUUUUUUGAGAAGGUGUCUCUGUCGCCCAGACUGGAGUGCGGUGGCGCGAUCUCC
rnacentral:lncRNA from 10 species